rnacentral:lncRNA from 1 species
AUCAGAAUAUGGUUUCCAGUGUCCUCCAAAACACAUGUGAAAACUUUUGUUUCUUUUGUAAUGAGGAAUAAGGAAAUUUUUGAUUCCUGUCAGAAAAUUGAAUUGUCCUUUGUCAGUGUCUUGCCAUGUCCACCACCAAAGAUGUCAGUGAGCAGUCACUGAACAGAGCAAAACUGACAGUCCCAAACUGACAUCAGUCCCAAAAUUGACCCAGUCCCAAAUUGACAUCAACAUUUCCUUUGUAAAGGAGGUGACUAUGUGUUUGUCAUAUAGACGUAAGCAAGCAUGAUUUUUCUGAUCAGUCCAUACAGACAGGAUUGAGCAUGUCUUGACACAGCAAAACAUAGUAAAGGUACUCAACUUUAUUUAUUCUACAGAGAGAGAGUGCCAGGAAAAGAUCAAGGGUCUCAAAUACUUGCUGUCCAACUAAGCCUUCCUUCUAGAAAUAGUUUCUAUCCAAACCAAAAAUAAUGGGAGAUUGUAAUAGAGAAAAUGAUUGGACAGCAAAGCUGGACACAGUCAUGCAGUGAUGAUGCAAAGUGUUAAAUGACUCUUUGCAACAGUUCCACCCACGGGAGUCACUGAUUUGAGCCUCUCUGAUAAUAAUCCUCUUUCACUUUUGUGUUAUGUUGCAGUGAAUGCAGUGGCACACUCCAGGAAAUGCAAUCAUUGCUAAGAUACUCACACAUUAUUUGCCAGGAAGGUCUUGCCUAUUUCAAACUGAAGUGGACUGUGAUGUGGUAGCCAAGCUGACUGCCAAAAUCAGAGCAUGGGAUCUCGUCCAAAACUCACUGUGGUCAAGGAGAAACUUGCCACUAAUUCAGCAGGAUUUGGAUCAGGCACUCUUGAACCUCGUCUCUCAUACUCCUGUUUUGCAUCCCUGUAAUGCCUUUGGCUUCUCUGGAACACAUCCUGAUCUGCAGGAGAAAGAAGAAAAAAACAUUUCUUUUUGUAUUUAUUUUUUUAAACAUUUUCUUUUACAUUGUUUCAAAUGGUUUUGAUUUAUAGAUCAGCACACACCCAAAAACAGUCCCUGAAAGCAACAAGGAUUCAGAGGCUUGUUUGCACAGCUUUAGACCAAAGUCUGCUUAACUGUGAAAAAUAACAUUUUUGUAGGCUGUUACUUCUUAAAGAGCUGCUGGUGCCUUCUGGAAAUCUUUGAGGAACAGUUUGUUUAGGAGUGAAUCUGCUUAGGACAAUAUACAACUUUAUUUUUCUGGUCUUUAUCUGCUAAAAGUCUCAAACAAGGCAACCAGAAAAUAUACUUAAAACUGCAAUUAGCAAAGGACACACACACACACAAAAAAAAAAAAAAAAAUCAUAUUUAACAAUUAGAAUCUAUUAAUGGAAUAGAGCCAAAUACUCUUACAAGUAAUGUAGCCUUAUUAAUCUGUUUUUAGAGAGAUUAAAAAAAAAAAAAUCUGGCAGUUUUUCAGCUGGAGUGGAAAGCUAUUCAAAUUACUUUUUUUUUUCUAUGCAAAGAAGCAACACUUUUCUGCUGAUGUAAAUACUGUACACACAGGCAACAACAAAUGGCACAUAGACCAGCAGAAAAUUUGACAAAGAGGCACUGUAUCUUCUAACAGUACUCUCCUGGGAAGACUAUGGCUUCACAUUAUCCUUAAUAAGAAAUGAAAUAUAAUAGGGACAUAAUCAUAGAAUCAAAGAAUAACUUGGCUUGGAAGGAACCUCAAAGACCAUCUAGUUCCAACCCCCCUGCCAUAGGCAAGGACACCUCCCACCAGACCAGGUUUCCCAAAGCCCCCUUCAGACUGGCCUUGAACACCUCCAGGGAUGGGGCAUCCACAGCUUCUCUGGGCAACCUGUGCCAGGGCCUCACCACCUUCUGAGUGAAGAAUUUCUUCCUAACACCUCAUCUAAUCUCCAUUCUUUUAGUUUAAAACCAUUCCCCUUGUCCUAUCGUUAGCUCCCCAAUUAAACAGUCAUUCUCCAUCUUUUUAUAAGCUCCUUUUAAGUAUGGGAAGGCCACUGUGAAGUCUCCCCUGAGCCUUCUCUUCUCCAGGCUGAACAUACUGAGCUCUCUCAGCCUUACUCCAUAGGAGAGGUGCUCUAGCCCUCUGAUCAACUUAAUGACCCUCCUCUGGACCCACUCUAACAGCCCCACAUCCUUCUUGUGCUGAGGGCCCCAGACCUGGAUGCAGGACUCUAAAUGGGGCCUCACAAGGGCAGAACAGAGGGGCACAAUCACCUCCCUUGAGCUGCUGGCCACUUCUCUGUUGAUGCAGCCCAGGAUGCAGCUGGCCUUCAGGACUGCAAGGACACGCUGCUGGAUCAUGUCAAGGUUUUCAUCCACCAGAACUCCCAAGUCCUUUUCUGCAGAGCUGUUCUCAAUGAGUUCUUCUCCCAGUCUGUGCUCAAGUCCUCCAGGAUAGCCCUGGCCUAAGUGCAGCACCUUGCACUUGGACUUGUUGAACCUCAAUAGGUUCACAUGGGCCCACUUCUCAAGUUUGUUUAGGUCCCCUUGGAUAGCAUCCCUUCCUUCUGUUGUAUCAAUUGCACCACUCAGCUUGUUUGGGAAUGAAUUCUGCAAGCCACCUAAGUAUUUCCAAGUGCAAGGAUUCAUUGCUCAUUGCAAAAUGACACUAUCACUGCCUUAAUUGCUGCCCCUGUACUGCUACAAGUAGCAUGAUAGGGGCAGGAGCAGACUUCUUUGCUCACUCUGCUUCUCCCAGAUCAGUCAGAACUGUGUGCAUAACCAGCUGUCCAGCUCAAGACACUACCACAGUCCUGCGAAUUUUACAUAUUCCCUACCCCUAGAUUACAUUAUGAUAAUUUUGCAAUCAUAGCUGUAUGUCCAAAAGUUAUGCAAAGAGACAACUUCUUACAAAGCAUUACAGAAAUUGAAUGCAAGUGAACUAAUACAUCUAUUUGACUUUCUGUUUACCAUUAAUACAUCAACUUGCCUUUUCUAAGACUUAAUAUACUCCAGUAUGCAGUUCUAAGGACGUGAGAAGUCACUAUCUUAGCUGGGUCCUGAUGUUUCUACUUAGCUUAAUUCAGUCCUUACAAAAACAAAACUCUUCUUAAAGUCAAUGAAUAUUUAACUCAAAAAAAAAAAAAAAAAAAAAGAAUAAAGACAGACCAAAUUCAACA